rnacentral:lncRNA from 1 species
CCAAAGGACUUCUGUGGAAUUGAUCAUAUCAUAGUUCCUACUGGACUUCUGUGGAUGCCAGAUCUGUCUGUUGAGGAGAUGACAGAGAAGGACAAAGCCGCUCCGAGUCCUUUUCUUAGCAUCAGGAGUCACGGCUGGGUUGAAUAUCGGAAUGACCAGGUGGUGGUCAGCACCUGCAAGAUGCAUGUUUUUAAAUUCCCCUUUGAUUAUCAGAGUUGCAACCUCUCCAUCAAGUCCAUCCUGCACUCUGAUAAGGAAAUACAAUUAUUAUUUAACACGAACAACACGGAGAUCACAGCGUGGACUCAGGAGGUGAUGCGGACGCAGUACGAGUGGCUGUUCGUCAGUUUGAAUGUCACCAAUACAACCGUGAACCAUUUUGGCUUCAACCAAACCAUGAUUAUAUACACUGUAAGUAUUUUUAGGGC